rnacentral:misc_RNA from 1 species
AGCAGCCGCGGUAAUUCCAGCUCCAAUAGCGUAUAUUAAAGUUGAUUGCAGUUAAAAAGCUCGUAGUUGAAUUUCGGGAUCAGUAUGUUGGUCGUGCUUCGGUACGUACUGUCAUUACUGGUUUCUACCUUCUGAAGAACCUUGAUGUCAUUAAUUUGGUGUCUUGGGGAAUCAGGACUGUUACUUUGAAAAAAUUAGAGUGUUUAAAGCAAGCAUACGCUUGAAUACAUUAGCAUGGAAUAAUGAAAUAGGACGUUUGAUUCUAUUUUGUUGGUUUCUAGGAUCGACGUAAUGAUUAAUAGGGAUAGUUGGGGGGCAUUAGUAUUCAAUUGUCAGAGGUGAAAUUCUUGGAUUUAUUGAAGACUAACUACUGCGAAAGCAUUUGCCAAGGAUGUUUUCAUUAAUCAAGAACGAAAGUUAGGGGAUCGAAGACGAUCAGAUACCGUCGUAGUCUUAACCAUAAACUAUGCCGACUAGGGAUCGGGUGAUGUUAUUUUUUAAUGACUCAUUCGGCGCCUUA